rnacentral:lncRNA from 1 species
CCCUCGCGGCUCGGCGCGCGGAGGCCCCGUGUGUCCACCUGAAGGUCCCCGGGGUGCGUCUGGCCGCCCGUCGGACCUUCGCUUUGGGGACUGCGUUUUAUCCACGAUAAACCAUUUCCCGAGAAAGGGGUGAGCUCUGCUGCUGCCUCCGCGAGAGCAGGCGCCGGUUCAAGUCCUGCCGCCCCCGCCCAGCCCUGCACCCGUCCAGGCCACCCCGACAGCCGCGGCCUCGGCCGUGGGCAGGACGGGAAGGCUGCGAGGCCGGGCGGAGAGGCGCCCUGAGGCCGGAGCGCGUGAGGACGACCUUCCCUCGCUGGAGACGCCGCCGCCGCCGCGCCUGGCCGGGCUGCACCGGGGUCUGGGCGGAGGGCGCGGGCGCGCGGGGCCGCGAGGGGAAGAGCAGAAGCGGAGGCGAAGGCGAGGGGCGCCGCGCACCUGUCCCGGGCUGCACGGAAGCGGCUUCCAGUGGGGACUGGCGGUCCCUCCCGGCCUUCAGGGCCUACUCGCGGCUCUGAAACCCCAGUGCCAGGCGCCUGUCCUGGCCCACGCUUCGUCCACCUCCCGCGGGAAACCCCUCGCAGCGGGGGUCGGAGGGGUGCCCUGGGAGAGAUGAGGGGGAGAAGCAUGAGACCAGGUCCUAGGGGGAAAAAGAGAAACAAAAGGUCUGAUUCCCUCCCUCCUCGCACCCCCUCCGUCUGUUUCUGGCAUCAACUUCUUGCCAGGGGCUCCAGGGAAGGGGAAUUUGAUAACCACGUAACUUCACCCUCAGAUGGCACAGGCCAAGGCCUUUCUGCGGAGCGGAGCUGCCGGUGAUUUCCAGAAUGCACUCACCUUUCUCCUCUCUUCGCUGUCUCUCUCUUUCCGUCCCUCAUUCCCUUCUUCACUUCCUUCCCUUCUUCCCGCCCUCUGUUUUCUCUCCCUUCCUCCCUCCACCUUCCACCCCCCAACCCCUCCCCAAGAUCUGAGUUGCACAGAUCUGAUGUAAUCACACCCUGCACGGUGCCAGCAGAGAGCCAUGCCAAGCUCUGAUUUUGUUCUCUACUAUUAUUUUCCUCUUAAUCCCCACUGCUCGUACUCAGAGUGGACAAUUUGAGAAUACAACAUAUGUACACACCAACGUUUCUACAGAUGUGUACGUCCAUGAAAUCAUCACCGCAAUCAACAUAGUGAACACAUUCACCACCUCCAAACAUCUCCUCCAGUCCCUUUAUAAUUUAUUCCCCAUGUACCUCUCUGCACUCCCCCUUCUCCAGGCAACCACUGAUUUGUCAACACAUUCAUUUGUGUUUUCUAAAAUUUUAUGUAAAUGGAAUAAUAUACUAUGUGCUCUUUUUUAAAAAAACAAUUUCAACUUUUAUUUUAGAUUAAAGGGUACAUGUGCAGGUUUGUUUCAUGAGUAUAUUGCAGGGUGCUGAAGGUUGGGGUACAGAUGAUCCAGUCACCCAGGUAGUGAGUAGUAGUUUUUCAGCCCACGUUCUGUUCCACUCCCUCCCUGCCUCCCUCCCUCCCUAGUCGUCCCCAGUGUCUGCUGCUCCCAUCUUUAUGUCUAUGUGUAUUCAAUGUUUAGGUCCCACUUAUAAGUGAGAACAUGCGUUAUUUGGUUUCCCAUUCUUGGGUUAAUUCCUUAGGACAAUGGCUGCCAUCCAUGUUGCUGCGAAGGACAUGACCACAAUGAGAUAACGUCUCACACCGGUCAGAAUGGCGAUUAUGAAAAAGUCAAUAAACAACCAAUGCUUGUGAGGCUGCGGGGAAGAGGGAACCCUUAUACACUUGCUGGGAAUAAAAACUAGUUCAGCCACUGUGGAAGGCAGUUUGGAGAUUUCUGAAAGCACUUAGAACUGCUAUUCGACCCAGCAAUCC